AGAUAAGCGUAGAUGGAGAGUAAGUACAUUGGUGGCGGUUACUGAAGAGAGCUAGUGGUUGGUGUAAACUAGUGUAGCGUGCGAAUGGAAUGGGCUUCGGAGCUUCCUUGCUGAACCUAUAGUAGGCGAGGCGGACGUCUUACCGUUAAAAAAGACAACGUAUGAGAGCUAGACUCCCGUACGUAUUCGAGUGCGUUUCAAUGAUGAAGCGAACAAAGGUGGCACCACGGGUUAUCCGUCCUUUUU
rnacentral:ncRNA from 1 species